UUUUUUUUUGUGGUACUGGGGAUCGAACUCGGGUCCUUAGCUUGCGAGGCAGGCGGUGGAACCACUGGGCUAAAUCCCCAGCCCCUCUAAUUUAGUUUCUGACGGACGGAUUAACUGGAAGAUUUUCCAGAAGUGGAAAUACUGUAUCCUCAAUGAACAGAUCUUUGGAGAAAUAAGGAGAACAAAAUAUAUCAUAUUCCCUGUUGGCUAACAAAUGCUUACAUAUUUAAGACAAAUUAACCUUUUAAGGCAGCUCUGAAGAAGUCAUUUAUUUUAAAUAGCUUUCCAUGUAGGAAAAUAUCACAUUUAAUCAAAGAACUUGUCUCUUAUUGGAAGAUGUAUUUUAUAAGCAUAGGACUUUUCAAAAAAUACCGUUGGCAAAACAACCCAAAGUAACAUGACCUAAGUGUUAAUACUUUUAAUAAACUCUAAGACUUCUAAUAUGGAAUAUUGAAGUUUGUGGAAUAAAAGGUUCUAUGUUUCAGGCAUCAGAAAACAAAACUGGAAAGAGUUGGAGAAGCUAAGGCCUUCUGACUCACCUAUGGGGACACUAUUCAUGGAGUUGCCAUGAGGGUGUAUUUAAUCAUUUGAAGUGUGAAGAAUUGUUAGAACUGAGGAAGCAAAAUCUGAUAAAUACUGUCCACGAUAGUGGAAUGGCUAUGAAAAGCUCAGUUUAUAGGGAAUCUAAUUCCUCAUGAGUGUAUGGGUAUAAGUAUGUGGGUGAUGUGGGAUUUAGACAGUCUGGUAACCU
ensembl:lncRNA